rnacentral:lncRNA from 1 species
ACACAGGAAGGUUUGGUUGGGCGGUUGGGAGAGUUUGAGAUUGUCUGUGUGGUUGGUGUAUGACUCCGUCAUGUUCACUAAUCAUUUUGUUAAUAGUUUCAUGAUGUCUAUUGUAAUUUUCAUCGAUCAACUUGUUUAAAAGAUCUUCGAACCCCGAAUGUUUUUUUUGGACAUUAUAGUCUAAUACUACAAUUUUUUAUCACUAUGUGAAUGUUCCAACCCUACACAAAUCUUCGUGACACAGAAGAUUUGACCCAUCAUACCACGCAACUCUUGUCCAUUUUCACACUUUUUUGAAGAUGCAAGCCGAAGUUUGUAGAUGU